rnacentral:lncRNA from 1 species
AGAAAUUCUCUCUUAGGAGCUGAUCAAAAUCAAACUAAGAAAUUUUUUACACAUGUGAGUCUUGGGGACUUCAGGGUCAUUCAAGGCAGAAUCAGGCCAUAAAUAGUAAUGCCAGAGAUGACAGGAUGUGUAGAGGGACAGGGGAAAAAUCUUACAGUGAAAGAAGAGUAGGGGAGUCUUGAAGUAUAAGUCCUUUGGGGGUCAGAGGACUUUAGAGAAGCUGAUGUUGUAAAAGAAAACAGACUUGUCACCUCUGGCAAAGCCUCAACAUAUGGGUAUGUAUCCGUCAGGGUUCAGCCAGAGAAGCAGAACAACUGGAAGAUAAUUAGAAUUAUCAGCUCAUUUGUCAUGUGGGGAUCCUCUGUGUUGGGAACCGAUGCUUGGUAUCACAAAAAUCAACACUGAGACAAAGUAUCUCUCAGCAAGGCUAGUUUACUUUCUGCAGAAAGGGUGCCACUCGCUAGCAGUCUCGCCAUGAGAGCACACACGAACAAAGGAGACAGGGUCAUUUAUAACCUGAAGUGUCCACCCUUCUGCUGUGUCCAGU